ACAUACCCUCUAAAUGGUAUGUGAAUGGCAAAACCUACAUGGAGGAUGUUGCAAAUGCGCUGGAGGAGGCCAAAGAGGAGAUCUUCAUUACAGACUGGUGGCUGAGCCCUGAGAUCUUUCUGAAGAGGCCUGUGGUGGAAGGAAAUCGCUGGAGGCUCGACUGCAUUUUGAAGCGCAAGGCUG